GGGUUGUGAGGUUAAGCGACUAAGCGUACACGGUGGAUGCCCUGGCAGUCAGAGGCGAUGAAGGACGUGCUAAUCUGCGAAAAGCGUCGGUAAGGUGAUAUGAACCGUUACAGCCGGCGAUGUCCGAAUGGGGAAACCCAGUGCAAUUCGUUGCACUAUCGUUAACUGAAUACAUAGGUUAACGAGGCGAACCGGGGGAACUGAAACAUCUAAGUACCCCGAGGAAAAGAAAUCAACCGAGAUUCCCCCAGUAGCGGCGAGCGAACGGGGAGCAGCCCAGAGUCUGAAUCAGCUUGUGUGUUAGUGGAACGGUCUGGAAAGUCCGACGGUACAGGGUGAUAGUCCCGUACACCAAAAUGCACAGGCUGUGAACUCGAAGAGUAGGGCGGGACACGUGGUAUCCUGUCUGAAUAUGGGGGGACCAUCCUCCAAGGCUAAAUACUCCUGACUGACCGAUAGUGAACCAGUACCGUGAGGGAAAGGCGAAAAGAACCCCGGCGAGGGGAGUGAAAAAGAACCUGAAACCGUGUACGUACAAGCAGUGGGAGCACCUUCGGGUGUGACUGCGUACCUUUUGUAUAAUGGGUCAGCGACUUAUAUUCUGUAGCAAGGUUAACCGUAUAGGGGAGCCGCAGGGAAACCGAGUCUUAACUGGGCGUUAAGUUGCAGGGUAUAGACCCGAAACCCGGUGAUCUAGCCAUGGGCAGGUUGAAGGUUGGGUAACACUAACUGGAGGACCGAACCGACUAAUGUUGAAAAAUUAGCGGAUGACUUGUGGCUGGGGGUGAAAGGCCAAUCAAACCGGGAGAUAGCUGGUUCUCCCCGAAAGCUAUUUAGGUAGCGCCUCGUGAAUUCAUCUUCGGGGGUAGAGCACUGUUUCGGCUAGGGGGUCAUCCCGACUUACCAACCCGAUGCAAACUACGAAUACCGAAGAAUGUUAUCACGGGAGACACACGGCGGGUGCUAACGUCCGUCGUGAAGAGGGAAACAACCCAGACCGCCAGCUAAGGUCCCAAAGUCAUGGUUAAGUGGGAAAC
rnacentral:rRNA from 1 species